ACAGGCGGUGCAAUCGAUCCCCUCGCUUGUUGUGCCAACAACACAUGAGAGUACGCGCGCCCUAUAUUAUUGUGGGCAAACCGUUCCCCAGCUGAACAAUCUGGUAAUAACCGAGGAGCAUAUAAGCCAGGCUAAAAUGCUCAAUAUCAGUGUUGGACAACUCCUCGAGAUCGAGCCCAUGUCUCCUCUUAGAGAGGAGGAAAUAAAACGGAAAUAUGUCCGGGGCCAACCUUUGGUCAAGCCCGAGGAGGUCAAGAACCUCCCAACGAGAAUGCAUGAAUUGCAUUGGUGGUACAUGAACAUUACCAAGAUUUCCAAUCGAGAGUCCCUCAUGGUGAAUGUCAAGGAGGAGCAUUACUUCCAUGAGAAAGCUCUGUCCGUUGAGUAUUCAGAACUAUUUCAGUUAUACAAUCAAGACGCACUCGACAAAUCUCUCGUCAGUUGCUAUUGUCUGAUGAAGAUGUAUGAAAUGAAAAAAUCUGGACGCUAUGGCAUUGGGUUCAUUGACCCAAAUACCGUUAAUGAACACACAUGGAAUAUUCCAAGUUGUCGAGCAAGUUUAGAGAAAAGCAUGCUAGAGUUCUUCAAGCGCCUCAAUACCAAUGAAGAUAUACUACUUCCUUACAACUUCCUUUACCACUGGAUCUUGUUAGUCAUUAAAGUUGAUAAAGGAACAGUUGAAGUACUGGACUCACUACUUAAGGAAGAAAGUGACUUCGCGAUCUUGAAGGGGAUACUCGACAGGGCUUGGGCAAAGUUCAUCAAGGUGACUCCGGGCAAGUGGAAAAAAAAGUUGUAUUGGUGGCGACCCAAGGCACUGAAGCAGGAGCCGGGGACUGAUCUGUGUGCAUACUAAGUUUGCGAGAACAUUCGCAUGAUGGCGUCCGAAAGGAGCAGAUCUCAAAGACAGGACUGGUUCAGAGAGGUGCGGGAGCAGCUCCUACCAACGAAGCGCAUACUAGCACUUCAAGA